UUCCAGGCAGUCUGAUGAUGAUAGAGGACUUGCUGACCACCCUCAGCCACUGCUGGUGUCUGCAGCAAGGCUGGUCUGCCUGUCUGUCACCUUUCCCAGUGCUGUAGAUGUGGCUUAGUGGUGACACCGAGGAGCUCUGCUGGGAGAGGCCGAUCUGGUCCCCACCACAUGGAGCGGCUGGUCCCCAAGCUGGAUGAUCACCUUCCACCCGAUCAGAACCGGUUCUUUUGGAGAAAGUCACCACAGAUAAGACAAGACCCCCCCUGCAAGCCUGAAAGCUAAAUUCCCUUGGCUGUGCCUGAAGGCGCUUGCGAGUCUGACUGCCAGCAGUCAAGUCCGAAAACCAUGGUGAGAGUCAUUCAGGCAGGUGGGGAGCAGCGCUGGAGCUGCUUGGGCCACGGGGUGCCAGGGGCUGGGGGCACCCAGUUGGCAUUGCUAACGGAAUAGCAGCAUCCCUGCCUGCAGGAGCAGAUGUCCAUAGCACAAGAGCCAGCUCGAUCCCUAUCAGAGAGGAGAUGCCACUGUGCUGCUGGCAACGGCAGGCAGAAAAUCCUCUCCCCGGGCAAGAGGCAGUGGGAUCCCCAGGUACCCUCGGUCCCGCUGCCAGCAGUGCCCGGGCAAAGCCUGGCCCCGCAGGCUCUCAGCCUGGGGACCACAGGCACGACGAGCUGCUGCGUGCCCUGCCACGGGGCUUCACGUCCUUCUCCCCACGCAGAGGGCAGGCAAACAGCCCCGCUGCGGAGUCCUGACGCACUUCAGUGCUGCGGCCCGGCUCCCCUGGGCUCUGAGCGUGGGAACUGGCUGUAAAAACCACAACCGGUCUUUGGGAAAUAAAAAAGUCAAACGCCUCUCGGUGCUAUGCAGGGCCCGCAGCACCGUGGCACGCGCCUUUCUGGGGAGCACAGACCCUUGGCGGCAGCGGGAGAC